GGACUCCCAGCCAAUAGCGGCGCGCCCCGCCGAACCGACCAAUCACCGCGCUGCACGUCCCCUAACCAACCAUUCACAGCGCGGCUCCCCUCAGCAAAGCCCGCCUGCCGGAAGUGGCGCCCCGUUCCCCGCCGCCGCCGGGACCCGCCGGGCUCGGGACAGGGGGAGGGGGCACAGCAGGGGUUCCCCCUUCAGGUUUUUGGGGGUCUCCCAUGUUGCCCCCUCCACAAAAAGCUCCGAGGGCCCCCUGAAGUGGCUCCUGUUCCACCAGCCGGUGCCCCCGAUCCACGACGGCCCCAGUCUGUCUUGGACACUUAUCUUUGCAGCUUGGUCUACCUGCUCUUUGUGUUGGUGCUCCUCGUUGGCUCUGUUCUUGGGGACAUGGGCAUCUACAUGGCAGACCUUCACAGGUAGCUUCUUUACUCUGGUAGCAAUGUCUUUCUACUCAUCAGCAGCUCAAAUUGGUUUUCUUCUAUGUUGCUAGUUAGCUUCUUUCCACCUCUCUAACUAUCUUCACAGAGCAUUGGCUACUAUCUAUGAAUCAGUGUAGAGGUAGAGCUUUGGCUACUUCUCUCUCUCAGCAAUACCUAGGGCCAGUUGAACAGCUUUCAGUUCAGCCAGUUGGCUCGAUCUACUUUCUUUUUCAGUGGCCUCUGCAGCCUGUCGUGUGGGGCUCUGUACGGCUGCUUUCCUCUUUUGUUUUAUUCUUACAAUGCAACAAGAACCAUCAGUGCAAAGAGCACAGUGUGUUUCUUCUGCUGGCAGUUGAUUGUAUGGUGGAGCUUCUUCAGCACGUGUUACUUCUUGUUCUUCUUCAUCAGCAAGACUAAAGUUUUUACUUUCUGGCUAGUUUUUUAAUUAUUUCUAGAAUCUCAGGGUGAUUCAGUUUUCUAAUACGGGCGCGCUGUGUGAUCAGAGCAAUCCAUUUGCUCCAUGUAGCACUGGUGGCAUGGUGCGUGGAGGGAACUUUUGCUUUGAGCAUCUACUCUAGUACUGGUAGUCGGGGUGCCAGGAGGAGUUGUGCUUCAGUGCUUAUUACUUCUGAGGCAGCUUGGACUCUUUCAUAGGCUGCUAAAAUUUCUUUCUCUGUUGGGGUAUAGUUGGCUUCAGACCCACUGUAGCUUCGACUCUAAAAUUUUAGUGGUCGGCUUCGAGUCUCUUCAGGCACUUUCUGCUAAAGGCUCCUGGACAAACUGUGGUUCUUGGCUGCAGAGUAGAGCACGUUCUUUAUUUCUGGUCUCGUCUUGACCGGGCCAAGGGCAACCUCAUGAGCGAUCUCCUGCUUGAUCUGGGUGAAGGCUUGUUGCUGCUCAGGGCUCAGCAAAGUGUUCUUCUUACAGGUGACCAGGUAGAGAGGGCUUAUGAUCUUACUGUACUCAGGAAUGUGCAUUCCCCAAAAGCCUAUGGCACUUAGGAAAGCUUGUGUUUCUUUCUUGCUGGAUGGUGGAGAUAUAGCUGUGAUCUUGUUGAUCACAUCAGUGAGAAUCUGAUGCUGUCUGUCUUGCUACUUCACUCUCAGAAACUGGAUCUCUGGAGCAGGUCUUUGGACUUUGCUCUUUUUGAUGGCAAAGCUGGCUUUCAGGAGAAUCUGGAUAAUUUUCUUUCUUUUCUCAAACACUUCUGCUGCCGUCUUCUUCUACACAAUGAUGUCAUCAAUGUAUUGCAGAUGUUCUGGAGCCUCACCCUUUUCCAGUGCAGUCUGGAUCAGUCUGUGGCAGAUGGUG